UCCAAUGCGAACGCGAAGUGAUGGAGAU
rnacentral:sRNA from 1 species